ACCUAACUAGCUCAGGGGAAGAGCAAAUGACUCUUGAUCUUGGGGUCAUGAGUUCGAGCCCAUGUUGGGUG
rnacentral:tRNA from 1 species